UUCUGAAGACAGAUGUCUGGUCUUUAGUCACUACUGCUUUCCAUCACACUGAGCAGAGAUGUCUCAAUCUAUCAAUGUUGAAGCCUUGAUGAGUCGCCAGCAAUCUGCUUUCUCUAUUCAAUUCAACGUUCUGAUUUACAGAUGAACUAAUGAAGACUGCAGAGAUGUCCGAUCUUCAUUCAUGAAUGGCUGUACAUCGAACUGAGCAGAGAUGUCUCAAUCUAUCAAUGAUGAAGUCUUGAUGAGUCGCCAGCAAUCUGCUUUGACAACUCAAGCAACUUCACAUUUAAAGAUCAAGUGAUCCAAACUGAGGUUGUCAGAUCAUCAGUCACAGUGCUGUCCAGAUUGUCAGAUCAUCAGUCAUAGUGCUGUCCAGAUUGUCAGAUCAUCAGUCACAGUGCUGUCCAGAUUGUCAGAUCAUCAGUCAUAGUGCUGUCCAGAUUGUCAGAUCGUCAGUCAUAGUGCUGUCCAGAUUGUCAGAUCAUCAGUCAUAGUGCUGUCCAGAUUGUCAGAUCAUCAGUCAUAGUGCUGUCCAGAUUGUCAGAUCAUCAGUCAUAGUGCUGUCCAGAUUGUCAGAUCAUCAGUCAUAGUGCUGUCCAGAUUGUCAGAUCGUCAGUCAUAGUGCUGUCCAGAUUGUCAGAUCGUCAGUCAUAGUGGCAGUCCAUGUAGCACAGAGGAGAAGUGAUGCUGAAGCCUAGUGUCCAGUAAUCUGCGUUAUGACAACUCAUUCAACUUCCUGUCUACAGAUCAAGUGAUCCAAACUGAGGUUGUCAGAUCAUCAGUCAUAGUACUGGCCAGAUUGUCAGAUCGUCAGUCAUAGUGGCAGUCCAUGUAGCACAGAGGAGAAGUGAUGCUGAAGCCUAGUGUCCAGUAAUCUGCGUUAUGACAACUCAUUCAACUUCCUGUCUACAGCUCAACUAAUUCAGACAUUUGAGAGUGUCAGAUCUUCAUUCAGAGUGGGAGUACCUCUGCCUUGAACAAUCAAUCAACUUUACAGACGGAGAGUUUCGGAUAUUCAAAAGGAGUUUGCAGCCCAUCAUACGACCAUCAACAUCGAUGCCUCAACCUUUUUGUACAGUUUGUAAUUAGUUGUAGAUUACAGGUAUAGAUUUUAGGUUGUUAAUUGUGUGGUGAAUUGUUCACACUUUCCCUUGUGUGUAGAAUUGAUCACACUUGCCCCUGUGAAAUUCUGCACUUCCCCUGUGUUGUGAAUUUCUUGCACACUCAACUUGUGUUGUGAAUUUCUCCCACUUCCACUUUGGUGAGUUGCUCAUACUUUCACCUUGUGUCGUGAAUUAUCAAGUUUAUAAACUGAAACGUUGUCUAGGGCCGAGUUGAGAGAAUGUUUCGCUAUCUAUUCUAGCACAUUCAACCUCUCUAAAUUUAGAUGUAUGCUGAUGUAUGGAGUUGACAAACUUGGUUGCCAUAUAGUGGAGCCGGCAUGGGAAUUUUUCCCCACAGGGGUUUUUGCCCAUCUCAUAUAUCAGCAAUUAGCAGGCAUGCAAUAUCUGAUUCGUAUGGUUUUGGUUUUCACAGCCAUUAAAACAUUUAAAAACACAGCACAAAAUCUUGCUGUGUCUGGUCUUCUGGAAAUGUCAAAUCUUUUAUCAAAAUACAGAGUUGCAUGACUGAAAUAGGAGACACUUUAGUGUCUAAAUUCUUAGGAGUCAAACAAAAUUUGACUGUUUAUUUAUUAGUUUAAUAUUUCUGUAGAUUAUUCAACGUUUCAGGGUGUGCCAGGGGUGCAUCACACUUCCUUUGUGUGCUGAGUACAAACACUUUCCCUUGUGUUACUCUGAGUUGCUCACACUUC